GACGAACGCUGGCGGCGUGCUUAACACAUGCAAGUCGAACGGAAAGGCCCUGCUUUUGUGGGGUGCUCGAGUGGCGAACGGGUGAGUAACACGUGAGUAACCUGCCCUUGACUUUGGGAUAACUUCAGGAAACUGGGGCUAAUACCGGAUAGGAGCUCCUGCUGCAUGGUGGGGGUUGGAAAGUUUCGGCGGUUGGGGGAUGGACUCGCGGCUUAUCAGCUUGUUGGUGGGGUAGUGGCUUACCAAGGCUUUGACGGGUAGCCGGCCUGAGAGGGUGACCGGCCACAUUGGGACUGAGAUACGGCCCAGACUCCUACGGGAGGCAGCAGUGGGGAAUAUUGCACAAUGGGCGGAAGCCUGAUGCAGCAACGCCGCGUGCGGGAUGACGGCCUUCGGGUUGUAAACCGCUUUCGCCUGUGACGAAGCGUGAGUGACGGUAAUGGGUAAAGAAGCACCGGCUAACUACGUG
rnacentral:rRNA from 1 species